UGCUUAAGGUGCGUCAUUGUUGAAACUUAAGGUGCGUAGAUCUAAAGCUUUAGGUGCGUGACUUUCUUUCUUAAGAUGCGUUGUUUUCAUUCUUAAGGUGCA